rnacentral:rRNA from 1 species
GAUGAACGCUGGCGGCAUGCUUAACACAUGCAAGUCAAAUGGAAUUGGGGUGUUUGAAUUAGAUUUGAGUGGCGGACGGGUGAGUAACGCGUAGAGGACUUGCCUCGCAGCUCGGGACAACCUUUGGAAACGGAUUCUAAUACCUAAUAUUAUGAUAAUAGGGCGUCCUAUAUUUAUGAAAGCUAUAAGCGCUGGGAGAGAGCUUUGCGUCCCAUUAGCUGGUUGGGGAGUUAACGACUCACCAGGGCGCUGGUGGGUAGCCGGCCUGAGAGGGUGAUCGGCCACAAGGGCAGUGAGACAGCGCACUUACCCCUACGGGAGGGAGGAGUGGGGUAUUGCAGAAUAGGGACAAAGCGGAUGCUGCAGCAAUGCGUGGGGCACGAUGAAGUUUGUGUGAAUGUAAAGUGUCUCCAGUGGCGAAGAAAGAUAUGACGGUACCAAGAGAAGAAGCGACGGCUAAAUACGUG